rnacentral:misc_RNA from 1 species
GAUGAAGAACGUAGCGAAAUGCGAUAAGUAAUGCGAAUUGCAGAAUUCCAGUGAAUCAUCGAGUCUUUGAACGCACAUUGCGCCCCCUGGUAUUCCGGGGGGCAUGCCUGUCCGAGCGUCAUUGCUGCCCUCAAGCACGGCUUGUGUGUUGGGCCUCCGUCCUCCUCCCGGGGGACGGGCCCGAAAGGCAGCGGCGGCACCGCGUCCGGUCCUCGAGCGUAUGGGGCUUCGUCACCCGCUCUUGUAGGCCCGGCCGGCGCUUGCCGACACAUCAAUCUUUUUUCCAGGUUGACCUCGGAUCAGGUAGGGAUACCCGCUGAACUUAAGCAUAUCAAUAAGCGGAGGA